GUGCACACGUACUGAAAUUGGAGUGACAGAGAGAUCAGCAUGGCCCCUGUGCCAGGAUGAUAUGCAAAUUCACGCAGUAUUCCACGUUUUU
rnacentral:snRNA from 1 species